rnacentral:lncRNA from 1 species
CCUCGUUAACUCCACCGUUUCACCCAAACAACAAUACGAGUAUAGAACCACUUAAUUGCACUCAUAACUAAUCCACCCAUCAAAUCCAACUAAUUAGCUCACUUAACCUGAAGGACUUGUACCUUCCGAUGGCGAGCCUUCCUGGCUUCCACCAUUGCUUCUAGAAUCCAGAGGAGGAAUGGUGAUGGUUGGAGGAGCGGCAAUGGUGGAGCUGGUGGUGGAGGUGGGCAUGGAGGAGGAGGAGAGGCUUCUGGCUUUGAGGUCCAGGAGAUGGAGGCCCAUGAAUCGCCUAUUCUGGAGCUCAAUGGCCUGCUGCAGCUCCGCUGCUUGCUGCUGCUCUU